rnacentral:rRNA from 1 species
GUCCACGCCGUAAACGAUGGAUACUCGCCCUAUGGCGGUUUAGAGCCGUUGUGGGGCCAAGCCAACGCGAUAAGUAUCCCGCCUGGGAACUACGAGCGCAAGCUUAAAACUCAAAGGAAUUGACGGGGCCCGCACAAGCAGCGGAGCGUGUGGUUUAAUUCGACGCAACGCGAAGCACCUCACCCAGGUUGGACAUGCCAGUGCAAGCUGCUGAAAGGCAGUCGCCUUCGAGGGUCUGGCACAGGUGCUGCAUGGCUGUCGU